AAAGUACUCCCUCCAUCCUAAAAUUCUUGUCUUAGAUUUGUCUAGAUACGGAUGUAUCAAGUCACAUUUUAGUAUUAGAUACAUCCGUAUCUAGACAAAUCUAAGACAAGAAAUUUGGGACAGAGGGAGUAGUUG
rnacentral:pre_miRNA from 1 species